rnacentral:rRNA from 1 species
AAUCUGGUUGAUCCUGCCAGAGGCGACCGCUUUUGGAGUUCGAUUAAGCCAUGCGAGUAGAAUGAAUUAGAUCAUUGCAAACUGCUCAGUAACACGUGGAUAACCUGCCCUAUGCUCCGGGAUAACCUCGGGAAACUGAGAAGAAUACCGGAUAGACCACAACGCCUGGAACGGUGUGUGGUUGAAAGGUCACGGCAUAGGAUGGGUCUGCGGCGUAUCAGGUCGUAGGGGGUGUAACGGACCUCCUAGCCAUCGACGCGUACGGGUUGUGGGAGCAAUAGCCCGGAGAUGGAUUCUGAGACACGAAUCCAGACCCUACGGGGUGCAGCAGGCGCGAAAACUUCACACUGCAGGAAACUGUGAUGAGGGAACUCCA